rnacentral:tRNA from 4 species
GGAGAAAUACCCAAGAGGCCGAAGGGGCUCCCCUGGAAAGGGAGUAGGUCGGGAGAACCGGCGCGAGGGUUCAAAUCCCUCUUUCUCCG